GUCUUUGGCCAUACCACCCAGAACACAGCUGAUCUCAGAAGCUAAACAGUGUCAGACCUGGUUACUACUUGGAUGGGAGGAAGGUAAAUAUACAACAUAAUAUAGAAUAAAAAGUGGGGCAGGAAGUCAGAAAUA
ensembl:rRNA 5S_rRNA 5S ribosomal RNA